AUUACGAUACGCAAUGAGAAAAAGUUGAGCGUGCGGCGCUAAAAAACUGAAACAAAACCAACUAAAAUAAACAAUGAGAUAAGCGGAUCUGUAUGAUUUCAUUCUUUAUUCAUAUCAACGAAGGCGGCAUGUGCAAAUUUCAGUGAAUUUAGUCACAUACACAAUGAAGAAACGCUUUGCGUUAUGAGGCGGUAACACUCGUUCGGUUCCCACACACCGCCGGAGCGCAGAGGAGACGCAAACUGUUUGCCGAAGGAGGCAGCCGCCACACGGCAGCCAUGGCAACGCAGCAGCCAACAACUCGAAUUCAAUUGUCUGUGCGCUCGCCGUCGCUGUGCGCUGCGAAUCGAAUCGAAAUUCGGUGCACACAACGCAGCACACGCAAACACAAACACCGAGUCAAUAGUGUGUGCGAGAGUUAGACAAUGUCGGCCAUUUUGUAGUAAGUGAGGAUUUCCUUCGCGAGCGGACGAAGUGAAAAGAAAACAAUUUUCAUCCAAACUAACAAACAUUACCGCUAGCGAAAGCCGUUUUCGACGAUUGUGUGCGCUAGCGUUGAAAUAAAAGAAUAGAAAAGAA